rnacentral:rRNA from 1 species
AUCGCCUCCUGACUAGUUAAACAUAGGAGGUCCCGCCUGCCCUGUGAUUAGAAAUUCAACGGCCGCGGUAUUUUGACCGUGCAAAGGUAGCGCAAUCACUUGUCUUUUAAAUGGAGACCUGUAUGAAUGGCAUAACGAGGGCUUGACUGUCUCCCCCUCUCAGUCAAUGAAAUUGAUCUCCCCGUGCAGAAGCGGGGCUAACACCAUAAGACGAGAAGACCCUGUGGAGCUUUAGACAAUAAAUAGUGCCUGUAAAGAAUACCCUAUAAGCAUAUAAACAAACGGCUAUCCUAUUUUGAUGUCUUCGGUUGGGGCGACCGCGGGGAAACAUAAAACCCCCACGUGGAACAUGAAGAAAUUCUUUCAGCCAAGAGCACCUGCUCUAAGCAACAGAACCUCUGACCUAAAUUGACCCGGCUUUUGCCGAUCAACGGAACCAGUUACCCCAGGGAUAACAGCGCAAUCCUCUCCCAGAGCCCAUAUCGACAAGAGGGUUUACGACCUCGAUGUUGGAUCAGGACAUCCUAAUGGUGCAGCCGCUAUUAAGGGUUCGUUUGUUCAACGAUUAAAGUCCUACGUGAU